rnacentral:misc_RNA from 1 species
GCAAAGGAAGAAAGUAGGGCAAAAGCAGGGCAUUCCAGCAGCGGCAGGCAAUUUGUCAAAGAGAAGCACAUGCCCCGGCUUGGUGUGUACCAGGUCCCAAUCACAAACCUAGGGCGUGUGAUAUUCUGUCCCACUCACUUGAAGAGUGUCCAGCAGCACGAAAUUGAAGGAAUUCAUGUUUUUUUGGGUCCAAAACUCCUCCAGAGGCAAUCCUAUUUCAGUUUCACUUCCUAUUUCACCAAGAUAUUAAUUUAGGUUUGGUUUUUUUUCGCGUUUCCUAUUUUACUUAG